AUUGAACGCUGGCGGCAUGCUUUACACAUGCAAGUCGAACGGUAACAGGGUGCUUGCACCGCUGACGAGUGGCGAACGGGUGAGUAAUGCGUCGGAACGUGCCGAGUAGUGGGGGAUAACGCAGCGAAAGUUGUGCUAAUACCGCAUACGUACUGAGGUAGAAAGUGGGGGACCUUCGGGCCUCACGCUAUUCGAGCGGCCGACGUCUGAUUAGCUAGUAGGUGAGGUAAAGGCUCACCUCGGCGACGAUCAGUAGUGGGUCUGAGAGGAUGAUCCGCCACCCUGGGACUGAGACACGGACCAGACUCCUACGGGAGGCAGCAGUGGGGAAUUUUGGACAAUGGGCGAAAGCCUGAUCCAGCCAUGCCGCGUGUCUGAAGAAGGCCUUCGGGUUGUAAAGGACUUUUGUCAGGGAGGAAAUCCCUAGUGCUAAUAACACUGGGGGAUGACAGUACCUGAAGAAUAAGCACCGGCUAACUACGUGCCAGCCGCCGCGGUAAUAC
rnacentral:rRNA from 1 species